GAUGAACGCUAGCGGCAGGCCUAACACAUGCAGGUCGCGGGGCAGCACGGGUAGCAAUACCUGGUGGCGACCGGCGCACGGGUGCGUAACGCGUAUGCAACCUGCCCCCAUCAGGGGAAUAGCCCGCCGAAAGGCGGAUUAAUGCCCCAUAAGCUCAGGGCGCCGCAUGGCGCUAUGGGUAAAGCUCCGGCGGAUGGGGAUGGGCAUGCGUGCCAUUAGCUAGUUGGGGCGGUAACGGCGCACCAAGGCGACGAUGGCUAGGGGGUCUGAGAGGAUGGUCCCCCAACUGGUACUGAGACACGGACCAGACUCCUACGGGAGGCAGCAGUGAGGAAUAUUGGUCAAUGGGCGCAAGCCUGAACCAGCCAUCCCGCGUGCAGGAAGACGGCCCUAUGGGUUG
rnacentral:rRNA from 1 species